rnacentral:rRNA from 1 species
UCUAGUUAUUAUAGCAAAGAGGAUACACCUGUUCCCAUUCCGAACACAGAAGUUAAGCUCUUUAGCGCCGAUGGUACUUGGUGGGAAGCUGCCU